GACGAACGCUGGCGGCGUGCUUAACACAUGCAAGUCGAACGGAAAGGCCCUGCUUUUGUGGGGUGCUCGAGUUGCGAACGGGUGAGUAACACGUGAGUAACCUGCCCUUUACUUUGGGAUAACUUCAGGAAACUGGUGCUAAUACCGGAUAGGAGCUCCUGCUGCAUGGUGGGGGUUGGAAAGUUUCGGCGGUUGGGGAUGGACUCGCGGCUUAUCAGCUUGUUGUUGGGGUAGUGGCUUACCAAGGCUUUGACGGGUAGCCGGCCUGAGAGGGUGACCGGCAACAAUGGGACUGAGAUACGGACCAGAAUGCUAAGGGAGGCAGCAGGGGGGAAUAUUGCAAAAUGGGCGGAAGCCUGAUGCAGCAAAGCCGCGUGCGGGAUGACGGCCUUCGGGUUGUAAACAGAUUUCGCCUGUGACGAAGAGUGAGUGACGGUAAUGGGUAAAGAAGCACCGGCUAACUACGUG
rnacentral:rRNA from 1 species